rnacentral:rRNA from 1 species
UACGGGGGGGGCAAGCGUUGUUCGGAAUUACUGGGCGUAAAGGGCUCGUAGGCGGCCAACUAAGUCGGAUGUGAAAUCCCCAGGCUUAACCUGGGAACUGCAUCCGAUACUGAUUGGCUUGAAUCCGGGAGAGGGAUGCGGAAUUCCAGGUGUAGCGGUGAAAUGCGUAGAUAUCUGGAGGAACACCGGUGGCGAAGGCGGCAUCCUGGACCGGCAUUGACGCUGAGGAGCGAAAGCCAGGGGAGCAAACGGG